GGGGCUGUCGCUCAGUGGAAGAGCCUCUGCUUUACAUGCAGAAGGCCCCCGGUUCAGUCCCCGGCGCCUCCU
rnacentral:tRNA from 1 species